CAUAGUGGAUAUGUCCUGGAAUGGUAUAUCCUCGAAAGAUCCGUCGCCUUAGGAUGGGACUGCGUCCGAUUAGGUUGUUGGCGGGGUAACGGCCCACCAAGCCAUUGAUCGGUACGGGUUGUGGGAGCAAGAUCCCGGAGAUGGAUUCUGAGACAUGAAUCCAGGCCCUACGGGGCGCAGCAGGCGCGCAAACUUUACAAUGCGAGCAAUCGUGAAAAGGAAACCCUGAGUGCCUGUCGAUGCAGGCUGUUCAUAUAUCUAAAUCAUAUGUGAAGAAAGGGCAGGGCAAGACCGGUGCCAGCCGCCGCGGUAAUACCGGCUGCUCGAGUGAUGGCCACUAUUACUGGGUUUAAAGCGUCCGUAGCUUGACUGUUAGGUCUCUUGGGAAAUCUUCACGCUCAACGUGAAGGCGUCUAAGAGAUACCGGCAGUCUUGGAACUGGGAGAGGUAAACCGUACUUCGGGGGUAGGAGUGAAAUCUUGUAAUCCUCGAGGGACGACCUAUGGCGAAGGCAGUUUACCAGAACAGCUUCGACAGUGAGGGACGAAAGCUGGGGGAGCAAACGGGAUUAGAUACCCCGGUAGUCCCAGCCGUAAACAAUGUGCGUUAGGUGUGUCGGUAACCACGUGUUACUGAUGCGCCGAAGAGAAAUCGUGAAACGCACCACCUGGGAAGUACGGUCGCAAGGCUGAAACUUAAAGGAAUUGGCGGGGGAGCACCACAACAGGUGGAGCCUGCGGUUUAAUUGGAUUCAACGCCGGGAAGGGCG
rnacentral:rRNA from 1 species